rnacentral:rRNA from 1 species
ACGGGGGGAGCGAACGUUGUUCGGAAUCACUGGGCGUAAAGGGCGUGUAGGCGGUUCGGUAAGUGGAAUGUGAAAUCCCCCGGCUUACCCGGGGAACUGCAUCCCAUACUGCUGGACUUGAGUCCGGGAGGGGCGAGUGGAAUUCCUGGUGUAGCGGUGAAAUGCGCAGAUAUCAGGAGGAACACCGGUGGCGAAGGCGGGUCUCUGGGCAACUACUGACGCUGAGGAGCGAAAGCGUGGGGAGCGAACAGGA